CCUACGGGGGGCAGCAGUAGGGAAUCUUCCACAAUGGGCGAAAGCCUGAUGGAGCAACGCCGCGUGGGUGAAGAAGGUCUUCGGAUCGUAAAACCCUGUUUUUAGAGAAGAAAGUGCGUGCGAGUAACUGUUCACGUUUCGACGGUAUCUAACCAGAAAGCCACGGCUAACUACGUGCCAGCAGCCGCGGCAAUACGUAGGUGGCAUGCGUUAUCCGGAUUUAUUGGGCGUAAAGGGAACGCAGGCGGUCUUUUAAGUCUGAUGGGAAAGCCUUCGGCUUAACCGGAGUAGUGCAUUGGAAACUGGGAGACUUGAGUGCAGAAGAGGAGAGUGGAACUCCAUGUGUAGCGGUGAAAUGCGUAGAUAUAUGGAAGAACACCAGUGGCGAAAGCGGCUCUCUGGUCUGUAACUGACGCUGAGGUUCGAAAGCGUGGGUAGCAAACAGGAUUAGAUACCCCUGUAGUC
rnacentral:rRNA from 1 species